rnacentral:rRNA from 1 species
CCUAACACAUGCAAGUCGAACGGUAACAGGAAGAAGCUUGCUUCUUUGCUGACGAGUGGCGGACGGGUGAGUAAUGUCUGGGAAACUGCCUGAUGGAGGGGGAUAACUACUGGAAACGGUAGCUAAUACCGCAUAACGUCGCAAGACCAAAGAGGGGGACCCUCGGGCCUCUUGCCAUCGGAUGUGCCCAGAUGGGAUUAGCUUGUUGGUGGGGUAACGGCUCACCAAGGCGACGAUCCCUAGCUGGUCUGAGAGGAUGACCAGCCACACUGGAACUGAGACACGGUCCAGACUCCUACGGGAGGCAGCAGUGGGGAAUAUUGCACAAUGGGCGCAAGCCUGAUGCAGCCAUGCCGCGUGUAUGAAGAAGGCCUUCGGGUUGUAAGAACGU